AUUGAUCAAAAGAAAAAAGAGGGAGAAAGAGAUGAAGAAGAAGAGGGCCAGAGAAACCAAAUCCAAAUUGGAUCAAAGGAUUGAUUAAGUCAUCAUCGAAAUCAAUCAUUCAUUUUUGUAGAUUAGGGUUUUCACCCCAUUAACACCCAAGAUCCAUUCAGUUUGAUGAAACCAAUGACCAAAUCAACUAAGAUCCAAGGCCAACAGAAGUCAACAAAGGUCAAAC
rnacentral:lncRNA from 1 species